AAAUGCCUUAAGUUAAAUAAACUAGUAGCCUUCAAAGCUAAAAAUAAGGCUAAGCUUUAGGCUUU
rnacentral:tRNA from 1 species